GUAGGUGGCAAGCGUUGUCCGGAAUUAUUGGGCGUAAAGCGCGCGCAGGUGGGUUCUUUAAGUCUGAUGUGAAAGCCCCCGGGCUCAACCGGGGAGGGUCAUUGGAAACUGGGGAACUUGAGUGCAGGAGAGGAAAGUGGAAUUCCACGUGUAGCGGUGAAAUGCGUAGAUAUGUGGAGGAACACCAGUGGCGAAGGCGACUUUCUGGCCUGUAACUGACACUGAGGCGCGAAAGCGUGGGGAGCAAACAGGAUUAGAUACCCUGGUAGUCCACGCCGUAAACGAUGAGUGCUAAGUGUUGGGGGGUUUCCGCCCCUCAGUGCUGCAGCUAACGCAUUAAGCACUCCGCCUGGGGAGUACGGUCGCAAGACUA
rnacentral:rRNA from 1 species